CCUACGGGAGGCAGCAGUGGGGAAUAUUGGACAAUGGGGGCAACCCUGAUCCAGCCAUGCCGCGUGUGUGAAGAAGGCCCUCGGGUUGUAAAGCACUUUCAGUGAGGAAGAACGCCUGGUGGUUAAUACCCAUCAGGAAAGACAUCACUCACAGAAGAAGCACCGGCUAACUCCGUGCCAGCAGCCGCGGUAAUACGGAGGGUGCGAGCGUUAAUCGGAAUUACUGGGCGUAAAGCGCGCGUAGGUGGCUUGAUAAGCCGGUUGUGAAAGCCCCGGGCUCAACCUGGGAACGGCAUCCGGAACUGUCAAGCUAGAGUGCGGGAGAGGAAGGUAGAAUUCCCGGUGUAGCGGUGAAAUGCGUAGAGAUCGGGAGGAAUACCAGUGGCGAAGGCGGCCUUCUGGACUGACACUGACACUGAGGUGCGAAAGCGUGGGUAGCAAACAGGAUUAGAUACCCUAGUAGUC
rnacentral:rRNA from 1 species